GUGAUCUCAAUAUCCAUGAUCUCCAUUACUCAGUCACAGUGUAUUGUUACUGUGGAAGGCAAUCUCAACAACAUCAGAGAUGGGUCUGUGGUUAAUUGCGUUCACCAUUUUUCUGUUGAAAGGUGCUCUCUGCCAACAGUGGAGUCUGUGGACGCCCCAAAGCAUUGUGGCUGUUGGUGGAUCCUGCCUAAUGGUCCCAUGUAGAUUCCAGAUCCCUGCAGAGUUUGAUGCUACCUUGAACAACUGCACACCCCAUGGGCUUUGGAAGAAACAUUCAGAAUGGGGAAAUAUUGUUUUCCACUCAGCCCAAACGGAUGCCAAGAACAUCAUCAAGGGAGUGAUGUUAGGAACUCUGUUGAACAAGAACUGCACCACUAUUUUCAACAGUUUCUCUGCAGGAUAUGAUGACACAUAUAUCUUUAGGCUGGAAUGUGCUGGAACAAAUCACCUCAAGUAUAACUUUCUACCAGGUGUAAAUAUCAAUCAUACAGACACCCCACCCAGACCCCAACUGAUCUCUAUGGGCAACAUCAUGGAGGGGGAGUGGGCUAGACUGAGCUGCUCUGCCCCCGCCCCCUGCCCUACAUUGCCGCCCUCCCUGACCUGGACCUCUAGGCUGGGUGGAAGUGUUGAGAGCCGGCUACAGGAGGGUAUAGAUGGGCUCAUGACCAUGACCUCCAUCCUGACAUUUACCGCCUCCCUCCGGCAUCAUGGGCUGAUGGUCAAAUGCGCCGCCUGCUACACACUGCAGCCAGGGGGCACCACCAAGACGACUCAGGGGAACCUGACCCUCAAUGUUCUGUAUGCCCCUAAAAACACUGUAGUCCUGUCCAACCCAACAGGGCCUGUGCCUGAGGGUAGGGCAGUGACCCUGACCUGCCAGAGUGAUGCCAACCCACCGGUGGAGAGCUACACCUGGUACAAAGACAUCAGUGGGAAGGAGACCUGGAAGGCCAAUGGGCAGACACUAGUCCUCCUGGUCAGCAAAGCGGACAGCGGGCUCUACCUCUGUGAGGCCCACAACCAGAACGGAUCACAGAGGUCAAAGGCCAUGCCUCUGGAGUUCGAAAGCGACCAAUUUUUCAAGAUGGCCCCCUACAUCAUCUGUGGAGUGAUGGUGUUGCUUUAUGUUCUGACCAUCACCGUGGAGGUGUAUAAAUAUAAAAGUCUCUCCAGAAGACUGAAACAGAUCGAGCUCUCCCUCUCAGGGAAAGCAGACAACACAUACACCAACCUAAGGAUCGCCAGCACCAGCUCUGACUAUGACGAACUCCAGAUGACCAGGGCUGUCCCAGGUAAAUCUAACUCUCAUGAAAACCCCAAUGGAAUUGGCAGAGGAAGUGAAAGAGCUGCGCCCUGAAACCACAUGGCAAAACAGCUCCAGAUUUAACCUUUUCAGUUGAGCUUUUGCAUGGAAAAUGAUAAUCUUGUAUCUUUUGCUUCGGAUCAUACUGUAUAUUUUUUCGGCACAAAAGACAUGAUAUUAUAUAUUUUAACCUGGUGUUUUCUGAAUGUCAUCACCUCUGCUAGUGUAUUUCGCCUGAAAGAGUUCAACAUGAUCCAGAGGCGUCAUGCACCUGAUUUAAAAAAAAAAGGGAGCAUUGAUAGCCAAAUUGCAUAUCUUUGGAUUCAUGCGUAAGAUGAACCAUAGCUUCUGUAUUUUCAGUGUACAAAUGGAUAAACUCAAUGGGCAUAAUGCCUCUGUGUUGCCCCUGUGAGCUAUGUAUUUACAUCUCAAUGUGUAAGGCUGUAUAUCUGAAUUAAUGCAAUGCUUUAUGCACUGAUAGUUGUAUUUCCUAAAAUAGUACUAAAUUGUUCUUGAAGGAUUUUGGUUUGAGGUUCAGCAUCAUCAGUGUAUUGCUGUCGUCUUCGCUGUAGA